CAAUAGCGUAUAUUAAAGUUGUUGCGGUUAAAAAGCUCGUAGUUGGAUUUCUGCCGAGGACGACCGGUCCGCCCUGUGGGUGAGCAUCUGGAUCGGCCUGGGCAUCUUCUUGGGGAACGUAGCUGCACUUGACUGUGUGGUGCGGUAUCCAGGACUUUUACCUUGAGGAAAUUAGAGUGUUUCAAGCAGGCGCACGCCUUGAAUACAUUAGCAUGGAAUAAUAAGAUAGGACUUUGGUUCUAUUUUGUUGGUUUCUAGGACUGAAGUAAUGAUUGAUAGGGAUAGUUGGGGGUGCUAGUAUUCAGCGGCCAGAGGUGAAAUUCUUGGAUUCGCUGAAGACUAACUACUGCGAAAGCAUUCACCAAGGAUGUCUUCUUUAAUCAAGAACGAAAGUUGGGGGAUCGAAGAUGAUUAGAUACCGU
rnacentral:rRNA from 1 species